rnacentral:rRNA from 1 species
UACGUAGGGGGCAAGCGUUGUCCGGAUUUAUUGGGCGUAAAGAGCGUGUAGGCGGCCGUACAGGUCAGCUGUGAAAACUCGAGGCUCAACCUCGAGACGUCGGUUGAAACCGUACGGCUAGAGUCCGGAAGAGGAGAGUGGAAUUCCCGGUGUAGCGGUGAAAUGCGCAGAUAUCGGGAAGAACACCAAAGGCGAAAGCGGCUCACUGGACCACAACUGACGCUGAGGCGCGAAAGCUAGGGGAGCAAACAGG